rnacentral:rRNA from 1 species
CCCAAAUUCCUACGGGAGGCUGCAGUAGGGAAUCUUCCACAAUGGCGAAAGCCUGAUGGAGCAACGCCGGGUGUGUGAUGAAGGCUUUCGGGUCGUAAAGCACUGUUGUAUGGGAAGAAAAGUUAAGGUAGGGAAUGACCUUAGCCUGACGGUACCAUACCAGAAAGGGACGGCUAAAUACGUGCCAGCAGCCGCGGUAAUACGUAUGUCCCGAGCGUUAUCCGGAUUUAUUGGGCGUAAAGCGAGCGCAGACGGUUGGUUAAGUCUGAUGUGAAAGCCCGGAGCUCAACUCCGGAAAGGCAUUGGAAACUGGUUAACUUGAGUGCAGUAGAGGUAAGUGGAACUCCAUGUGUAGCGGUGGAAUGCGUAGAUAUAUGGAAGAACACCAGCGGCGAAGGCGGCUUACUGGACUGUAACUGACGUUGAGGCUCGAAAGUGUGGGUAGCAAACAGGAUUAGAUACCCUGGUAGUCCACACCGUAAACGAUGAACACUAGGUGUUAGGAGGUUUCCGCCUCUUAGUGCCGAAGCUAACGCAUUAAGUGUUCCGCCUGGGGAGUACGACCGCAAGGUUGAAACUCAAAGGAAUUGACGGGGACCCGCACAAGCGGUGGAGCAUGUGGUUUAAUUCGAAGCAACGCGAAGAACCUUACCAGGUCUUGACAUCCUUUGAAGCUUUUAGAAAUAGAAGUGUUCUCUUCGGAGACAAAGUGACAGGUGGUGCAUGGUCGUCGUCAGCUCGUGUCGUGAGAUGUUGGGUUAAGUCCCGCAACGAGCGCAACCCUUAUUGUUAGUUGCCAGCAUUCAGAUGGGCACUCUAGCGAGACUGCCGGUGACAAACCGGAGGAAGGCGGGGACGACGUCAGAUCAUCAUGCCCCUUAUGACCUGGGCUACACACGUGCUACAAUGGCGUAUACAACGAGUUGCCAACCUGCGAAGGUGAGCUAAUCUCUUAAAGUACGUCUCAGUUCGGACUGCAGUCUGCAACUCGACUGCACGAAGUCGGAAUCGCUAGUAAUCGCGGAUCAGCACGCCGCGGUGAAUACGUUCCCGGGUCUUGUACACACCGCCCGUCACACCAUGGAAGUUUGUAAUGCCCAAAGCCGGUGGCCUAACCGUAAGGAGGGAACC